rnacentral:misc_RNA from 1 species
ACAAAAAAAAAAAAAAAAGUAAAAACCAAAAAAUAUAUUAGGCAUACGAAAAUUCAAGGGUUAACACUCUGUUUGGUUACCGAGAAAAUGUGUGAAUAUAAAAUAAGUAAACAGCAUAACUUGCAUUAUAUUAAAUUUGGAACCACACUGAGCUAGAACCUAUACUAUAGAGAUGACUUGAGGUUAACAAUUCAAUUCAUUUCUCCUCCCUUUUGUUUUCAUUAAUUUUCUCGCAAACCAAACAGAGAGUUUGACAGGUUUUGCUGAUUGUAUAGAGAGAAGGAUACAGGAGUGAUGUAUUCUUUGCCGAAGACAGUGUGGAGAAGGUCGAAAUCGACGAUGUGAAGCUCCUGGACCAAUUCGACAACGUUUCGUUCCGAUAAUCGGAUGCUCGAUUUAGCUUACUGCGUGAAACGAAUUGUCUCUGCAAUUCCAACAAUUCAGCAUCCAUUUUUCGUAUUUCUCUUCUUCAAUUUUUGUUCAAUCAACACGCAGAGAUUUUCUGAUUCGUUUUCAGUAUUCCGUUCAAAUUUUG